ACCGAAUCUGAGACCAGUGGAGGCUGGCAGCAAAUGACAGGGCAGGAUAUCCUGCCUCUAACAGCCCUACAUCCUUGCCAAACAGAAAUUCAGUAAGCACGAUUACCAGGAGAGUCUGCUGCGAAAAGCAUCACCUCAGUUUGUGCUUCUUCUCGUACAUCUCUUUAAGGACACAGAUACAGGGCCAGUAAACGAAUUGGCAAGCAUACCACUACAGGAAAAAACUGGAACCCAUUUGGGUGAGUGAUUGCUUUCAACUGGGUUAUGAGAAAAGAUGUUUGGAAACCACUGCUCUAGUCCAUAUGGCCGUCCAUAUAAAGAUCCUAUUAUGUAUUGCUAUAGCAUGUUAUAUGAAUAAAAUAUUUUCUACAUUUAAAGUAAAAAAAAUUUUUAUUUUAUGUGUAAAAAAAUUCUUAACUCAU